GCAAGUCGAGCGAACGGAUAAGGAGCUUGCUCCUUUGAAGUUAGCGGCGGACGGGUGAGUAACACGUGGGUAACCUACCUAUAAGACUGGAAUAACUUCGGGAAACCGGAGCUAAUGCCGGAUAACAUAUAGAACCGCAUGGUUCUAUAGUGAAAGAUGGUUUUGCUAUCACUUAUAGAUGGACCCGCGCCGUAUUAGCUAGUUGGUAAGGUAAAGGCUUACCAAGGCGACGAUACGUAGCCGACCUGAGAGGGUGAUCGGCCACACUGGAACUGAGACACGGUCCAGACUCCUACGGGAGGCAGCAGUAGGGAAUCUUCCGCAAUGGGCGAAAGCCUGACGGAGCAACGCCGCGUGAGUGAUGAAGGUUUUCGGAUCGUAAAACUCUGUUAUUAGGGAAGAACAAAUGCGUAAGUAACUGUGCGCAUCUUGACGGUACCUAAUCAGAAAGCCACGGCUAACUACGUGCCAGCAGCCGCGGUAAUACGUAGGUGGCAAGCGUUAUCCGGAAUUAUUGGGCGUAAAGCGCGCGUAGGCGGUUUCUUAAGUCUGAUGUGAAAGCCCACGGCUCAACCGUGGAGGGUCAUUGGAAACUGGGAAACUUGAGUGCAGAAGAGGAAAGUGGAAUUCCAUGUGUAGCGGUGAAAUGCGCAGAGAUAUGGAGGAACACCAGUGGCGAAGGCGACUUUCUGGUCUGUAACUGACGCUGAUGUGCGAAAGCGUGGGGAUCAAACAGGAUUAGAUACCCUGGUAGUCCACGCCGUAAACGAUGAGUGCUAAGUGUUAGGGGGUUUCCGCCCCUUAGUGCUGCAGCUAACGCAUUAAGCACU
rnacentral:rRNA from 1 species